CAGUAAUUCAUUUAAGUGGCAUUCAAUUCAUAUUUCUACUGAUAAGACCAAACCUGAUAUUGUCGCCAGUGAAGGAACUAUCUCUGCAAAGCAUUCCAAUCCUUCCUAUUUCAUAAUGUUGAUAAAUUAAGAAUUACAAAUUAACCGUAAUCUUUGAGAUGCAACCUGCCAAUACAUAUCAAUGUUUGGAUUUUGAUUAUUUUCGGUGAAAUAAUCACAUUUUUUUUUAAAAACUCUUGCCAAGAUGGUGAAUUAUAAGCUGUU
rnacentral:lncRNA from 1 species